GAUCAUGGCUCAGGAUGAACGCUGGCGGCGUGCUUAACACAUGCAAGUCGAGGGGCAGCAUGGUCUUAGCUUGCUAAGGCUGAUGGCGACCGGCGCACGGGUGAGUAACACGUAUCCAACCUGCCGUCUACUCUUGGCCAGCCUUCUGAAAGGAAGAUUAAUCCAGGAUGGGAUCAUGAGUUCACAUGUCCGCAUGAUUAAAGGUAUUUUCCGGUAGACGAUGGGG
rnacentral:rRNA from 1 species